CAGCCGCCACGGGAAUACGGAGGGUGCAAGCGUUAAUCGGAAUUACUGGGCGUAAAGCGCACGCAGGCGGUCUGACAAGUCAGAUGUGAAAUCCCCGGGCUUAACCUGGGAACUGCAUUUGAAACUGUCAGGCUGGAGUCUUGUAGAGGGGGGUAGAAUUCCAGGUGUAGCGGUGAAAUGCGUAGAGAUCUGGAGGAAUACCAGUGGCGAAGGCGGCCCCCUGGACAAAGACUGACGCUCAGGUGCGAAAGCGUGGGGAGCAAACAGGAUUAGAUACCCCGGUAGUCCCUGUCUCUUAUAC
rnacentral:rRNA from 1 species